rnacentral:rRNA from 1 species
UACGUAGGGUGCGAGCGUUAAUCGGAAUUACUGGGCGUAAAGCGUGCGCAGGCGGCUAUGUAAGACAGGGGUGAAAUCCCCGGGCUUAACCUGGGAACUGCAUUUGUGACUGCAUAGCUAGAGUACGGUAGAGGGGGAUGGAAUUCCGCGUGUAGCAGUGAAAUGCGUAGAUAUGCGGAGGAACACCGAUGGCGAAGGCAAUCCCCUGGACCUGUACUGACGCUCAUGCACGAAAGCGUGGGGAGCAAACAGG